GGGUGCGAGGGUUGACGGGUGCGAUUAUACCAGCACUAAUGCACCGGA
rnacentral:rRNA from 1 species